UGCGGUAAAAAAGCUCGUAGUUGGAUUUCUGUUGAGGACGACCGGUCCGUACCAUGUACGCGCAUCUGGUUCGGCCUCGGCAUCCUCUCGAUAGACGUUUCUGCGCUUGAUUGCGUGGAGCGGAUUUCGGGACUUUUACUUUGAGGAAAUUAGAGUGUUCACGGCAGGCUAUCGCCAGAAUACAUUAACAUGGAAUAAUACUAUAGGAUCUCGGUUCUAUUUUGUUGGUUUCUAGACCCGGGGUAAUGAUAAAUAGGGACAAUUGGGGGCAUUUGUAUCAACACGUCAGAGGUGGAAUUCUUGGAUUGUGUUGCGACAAACUACUGCGAAAGCCUUUGCCAAGGAUGUUUUCUUGAU
rnacentral:rRNA from 1 species